rnacentral:rRNA from 1 species
GUCUACGGCCAUGCCACCCUGAACAAGCCCAAUCCCAUCUGAUCUCGAAAGCUAAGCAGGGUUGGGCCUGGUUCGUACUUAGAUGGGAGACCACCUAGGAAGACCAGAUGCUGUAGAUG